rnacentral:lncRNA from 1 species
AAUGACAUCAUUUUUAAAGGAUAAAAUCAAAAUUUCACCAAACAAACAACAUAAUGAAAGUGUCAUAUUAAAGAACGAGACAACGUAAAAGACGUGAAUCAGUGUAUACCGGCGAAAAAGAUGGCAACGGUGGUGUAGCGGUGGUCAGUUUUCCGGCGACGGUACCAUCAGAGGUUUGAGUUUUUUAGUCUUAUCUUUUUACUAUUAACCUUACAUUUACAUAACACUAGAGCUAUUAUAAUGUAAAAGGAAAAUAAAAGAAAAUAUACCUUCUCUUCUUCUUGCUUGUUUGCUUUUGCUUCUACUCUUUUUUCUUCUUUUUUGUUUUGGUAUUUUUCUGUUCGUGUUCGAUCUCUCCUCCUUUGUGUGUGUGUGUUUUUUUUUUCAGUAGAGUUAAACUCCGAUCCUUUUAAAAGAUAAACAAAGAUGUAUUUGUAGAGUUUUUUAACUUGUCUUGUUGUUUUCUUUGUCUGUGCCACUGUUUGAGUUUGAGCUUUUCAGAUCCAUGUUUGAUGCUUCAUCUCUUUUGCUCAUCAUCUGAGUUUUUUUUUCUGCUUUGAUGCAUUCAUGGUUUUGACUUAUUUGUUUUGAUCUGUUCAUUUGCUGAGUUUUUUCAAAUGCAGCUUUAAUUUGUCUUUUAGGUUUUUUUUUUAAACUCAAAAGUUUGUCUCUUUGCUAUCUAUAAUGUGUACAAUGGCUAACUUAUAAAAAUUAUCUUUUUAUUUCUCUAAUUAGUUACAACAGGUACAAAUGUAUCAAUGAGCAUGGCUUGUGCAUCAAUAGCAGUCAACAUCAACAUAGCAAAGUUUGACAGUGAGCAAGGACAUCAAUAGAGAACAAAACAAAGGCAAAACUCGAACAGC